GGGGCACUAGCUCAGCCUGGUUAGAAGUUCAAUGGUUGCGUACCAUUUUACUAGCAAGCGUCUGGCUCAUAACCAGAUGGUCGGUGGUUCAAAUCCGCCGUGCCCCACCA
rnacentral:tRNA from 1 species